rnacentral:lncRNA from 1 species
UUUUUGUUAAUGGAGGCCAUAACUAGCUUGUCGCACUCUGGCUCCAUCCACGUGGUGACGAAGGAGGCCAGAUUCAGCCUCGGAUUUCCGUCGAGCAUCAGCUCGUCGUUGAUGAUCUGGUACGCCGCUUCCUUCGGGAUCGAUUCUUCCGACAUCUUAAACCUAAUUUCGUACAAUCGUAAAUCUCAAUGAUUCGCACAGAAAAGUAGGGGAAUAGAGCAGGUGAUGAUAGAUCGUACCUGGGGAGAGAGUGGCGAACAUAACGCGAACCAAAAGUCGAGUGGACUGAGACGUCGGAUUCAGAGGCGGUCUUUGAGAGAACCA